rnacentral:lncRNA from 12 species
GUCAAUAAGGCGCUGCUGGCUCAUUUGAGGGAAUGUCAAUCUUUACAAAAAUAAUAGCCUGUGUAGUGAAAUAUUUUAAUACAGGUUGACAUGAUUGCUUUAGAUUAAUUUUAUCCCGUUUCUGUGUCUAGAAUAAGCCAAGCUGUGCUCUCGCCAGAUCCAGUAGCCUACGAGCUCUUAAAAGAAGCAUGCUACCUUUAUAGCAAAGUUUCGCGGUACAACUGUAAUCUUGAACAGCGCCCCACAGAGGUUUGUUUCUGGUCAGAGGUCUAUUGUGUGGCUAGUAGAUCAGACAGACUCCUGCAGUUGUUUAGCAAUGUAAUCCCAAGUCAUUUGUCACAGUACAGAGCAGGUGCAGUAGCUAUGCAUGCACAAGAGGAGAUCAAUGCAAUUAGCAGCCAAUGCAAAGGACUUCAAUACUAAUGUAAGUGAACACACAUGACAGAGAGAGGUCAGAGAGAAAAAGAGGGAGAGAAAGAGAUAUGUCUGUUUGAGUAAUAUGCAAUUAAGGGCAUAUUAUAAUUUGGCUAAUGUGUGUGUUUUAGAUAUUUAACACCUUUACAAAUGGUAACACUGGAUCCCUACUGUAGAAUGCAGUAUCCUCAUGCUGCAAUGCAAUAUCUUGGAUGACAGUGGGCAUGAACAGACUGUCUAGACCAAUGUUUCCCCAGCCUUUUUUAUGUAGUCAAAACAGAAAUGUAUUCAGGCUACAACUCAAACUACUCAAAUGCAAGUGUGAUUUUGCUCUAUAAACAAAAUUGAAUAUUGAGUAACAGGAAGCUUUCCGCUAUAGAGGUUUUUUUAUAGGCAUUUGAACAUUUCGAAUUUCAGUGACUCUUUCUGGUACACCAGUAGGUGGCACUGAUUGUUGUUCUGUGUUAUGAGCGAGUCAUUGAAUCAUUAAGCAACUGAUUCGAUAACAGCAUCCAAAAUCGCAUACUAAUUGUACACUUACCUUUUCACAUAAUUUUUUUUAUAUAUAGUAGGGCAGUAAGCCACUCACCAACUAAAUGUUAUUUCACAACGUGAAAGAUUUUAAAUCUUACUAUAAUCAGUCUUUAAAGCAGCAGAGGAGCCAC